rnacentral:rRNA from 1 species
GACGAACCGAGCGAACGUUGUUCGGAAUCACUGGGCUUAAAGGGCGCGUAGGCGGAUUCUCAAGUCCGGGGUGAAAUCCCACAGCUCAACUGUGGAACUGCCUCGGAUACUGGGAGUCUCGAGGGUGGCAGGGGUAUGCGGAACUAUCGGUGGAGCGGUGAAAUGCGUUGAUAUCGAUAGGAACUCCGGUGGCGAAGGCGGCAUACUGGUCCACUUCUGACGCUGAGGCGCGAAAGCCAGGGGGAGCAAACGGG